rnacentral:lncRNA from 1 species
AUAAAAUUUGAAAAAGUAGAGUUUAAGAGUUUUAGUUUUGUUUUUAGUUUUGAGAUGUGUUUAUUGGUAGGAUCUUAAGUUGGGUAUCUUAGAUUUUUAUUUUUUUUUAAAAUUAAAUAAAUUUAUAAUUUGUAAUAUAAGAAAAUUAUCUUGUAUUUUCAUGUAUGGCUAAUUUAAUUGGUUUUUUUUAACAUCUAUUCAUCAAAUUCAU